rnacentral:rRNA from 1 species
UUGAACGCUGGCGGCAGGCCUAACACAUGCAAGUCGCGCGGAUGAAGGGAGCUUGCUCCUGGAUUCAGCGGCGGACGGGUGAGUAAUGCCUAGGAAUCUGCCUGGUAGUGGGGGAUAACGUCCGGAAACGGGCGCUAAUACCGCAUACGUCCUGAGGGAGAAAGUGGGGGAUCUUCGGACCUCACGCUAUCAGACGAGCCUAGGUCGGAUUAGCUAGUUGGUGGGGUAAAGGCCUACCAAGGCGACGAUCCGUAACUGGUCUGAGAGGAUGAUCAGUCACACUGGAACUGAGACACGGUCCAGACUCCUACGGGAGGCAGCAGUGGGGAAUAUUGGACAAUGGGCGAAAGCCUGAUCCAGCCAUGCCGCGUGUGUGAAGAAGGUCUUCGGAUUGUAAAGCACUUUAAGUUGGGAGGAAGGGCAGUAAGUUAAUACCUUGCUGUUUUGACGUUACCAACAGAAUAAGCACCGGCUAACUUCGUG